rnacentral:rRNA from 1 species
CGGUAACUGCGUACGAGAAGUCUACGGUCGUAAGUUCGUGUUAGGAAGACCAGUCCGGUUACUGCUGUUACCUGCCGUGCUAGCAGAAAGGCAGGCUUACUUACGUGACUGCAGCCGCGGUAAUAGUUAGUGGCUAGCGUUUGUCGAACUUAUUGGCGGUAAGCGGGGGGCCAGCUGUUCCUUAAGUCUUGAUGUGAAAGCCCACGGCUCAACCGUGGAAGGGUCAUUGGGAACUUGGGGAACUUGAGGUGCAGAGAGGAAAGUGAAUUUCCAAGUGUAGCGGUUGAAAUGCGUAGAGAUUUGGAGGAACACCAGUGGCGAAGGCGACUUCUGGUCUGUAACUGACACUGAGGCGCGAAAGCGUGGGGAGCAAACAGGAUUAGAUACCUGGUAGUCCACGCCGUAAACGAUGAGUGCUAAGUGUUAGAGGGUUUCCGCCCUUUAGUGCUGCAGCUAACGCAUUAAGCACUCCGCCUGGGGAGUACGGCCGCAAGGCUGAAACUCAAAGGAAUUGACGGGGGCCCGCACAAGCGGUGGAGCAUGUGGUUUAAUUCGAAGCAACGCGAAGAACCUUACCAGGUCUUGACAUCCUCUGACAACCCUAGAGAUAGGGCUUUCCCCUUCGGGGGACAGAGUGACAGGUGGUGCAUGGUUGUCGUCAGCUCGUGUCGUGAGAUGUUGGGUUAAGUCCCGCAACGAGCGCAACCCUUGAUCUUAGUUGCCAGCAUUCAGUUGGGCACUCUAAGGUGACUGCCGGUGACAAACCGGAGGAAGGUGGGGAUGACGUCAAAUCAUCAUGCCCCUUAUGACCUGGGCUACACACGUGCUACAAUGGAUGGUACAAAGGGCUGCAAACCUGCGAAGGUAAGCGAAUCCCAUAAAGCCAUUCUCAGUUCGGAUUGCAGGCUGCAACUCGCCUGCAUGAAGCCGGAAUCGCUAGUAAUCGCGGAUCAGCAUGCCGCGGUGAAUACGUUCCCGGGCCUUGUACACACCGCCCGUCACACCACGAGAGUUUGUAACACCCGAAGUCGGUGAGGUAACCUUCAUGGAGC